CACGGGAUACAUUUCUAUGGGCCGUUUGAUUGGAAGCGAGAAGCGGCUUAAUGGAAGGAGGAAGCGGAGGCAGACACCGAGUCAGAAGGUUUAUUAGGUUGAAGAGAGGAGAAAGAAGCAGAGGCCGGUCCGACACUCUGCUUCCACUGCAGUCUCCCGAUGGUAAGGAUGGUGUGAGACUGACGGACAGUUCGUGCUGGUACUGCGACUUGAAGACGCAUGCCUUCAAUGAACCGCUCUUUCGGCUGGGACGCAGCCACGCCCGCUAUUUGAGGGUUUGGUUCUCCAUAGGAGUUGGCUUUGCGCUCACCGUUUUGCUACUUGUCUCGUUGCUUCUUCUCCUGGAACUAGCCUCUGCUCUUCACCUUCUCCAUCCUCCUAACUCUCUGCGCCUCACUUCCCUUGUUUUUGGAUUUUGGCGAUCGAACGUAUCACUUUCCGGUGCUGCAUAUAUAUUCAUUUCUACCUUGCUUUCGGUUUCAGUUCAUGAAUUUGGUCAUGCUCUUGCUGCUGCUAGUGAUGGCAUACGCUUGGAAUACGUGGCCAUUUUCCUUGCAACUCUUUUUCCCGGCGCACUCGUUGCUUUCGAUUAUGAUUUGCUGCGAGCUUCACCACGCUUUACUUCUCUUCGAGUUUAUUGUGCCGGCAUUUGGCAUAAUGCAGUCUUUUGCGCACUUUGUGGAUUAGGGCUAUUGCUCCUGCCCCUGAUCUUAUUUCCCUUUUAUAUUCACGGAGAGAAUCCCAUGGUUUUGGACGUACCUUCUGUGUCACCAUUGUUUGGUUACUUGUCUCCUGGAGAUGUGAUUUUGUCUUUUGAUGGCAUUCGCGUUCACAAUCCACGAGAGUGUAUGGAGAUAGCUGAUCUGUUACAUAAACGUAUGCUUCAAAGCUCAAAUGAUUCCUUAUUUCUUCAAAGAUUUAGCAGACCUGAUGCCAGAAAGGGGUACUGCGUUCCUAAUUCUUUGAUGGAAGAGAGCAAUAAGAUUCAGUUGGUGACCAGCGACCAAUUUGCUUGUCCUGAGGAUCUCAGUUCAUUUGUAACCACUCAGUGCUUAGAAUCAGCAGAAUCAAGUAAUCUAGUCAGUGCCUAUGGUCAACCAAAUGUAAGCAAGAAUGGCUUUUGUUUGAACGCAAAGGAUAUUGUCAAGCUUAGAAAGUGUGGUGAUGGGUGGAUGACUGCUGUAACUGUUGGAAGCAGCUGCUUAUGUUCUCAUGGGGAGUCCUGUUUGAGUCCAGAUCAGUUGCCAGGUUCGACAUGGACUGAGAUCAUGUAUUCAAGCCCUUACUCACCAGAAUGCUUGGAACUUCAAAGAAGUUCUUCUGCGGAUUUUAGUACAUCUAAAUUCACCGAACAUAAUUGUGCUGGUGCUUUUGUUUUUGUUGGUGAUUUGAUCUCAAUGCUGCACGCAGUUCGUUUAACUGCCUAUCAACCGUAUUUGGAAUUUCCUUUCAGUGCAUAUAUUCCAAAUCUAUUGGAAAAGAGUUUGAUCUACAUGUUCCAUGUCUCUCUGACACUAGCUCUUCUGAAUAGUUUGCCAGUAUAUUUUCUCGAUGGGGAAUCUAUAUUAGAGGUUAUUCUAUCCCACUUCACUGCACUAGGCUUGAGGAAGAGGAGAAAAGUUCUUCAAGUAUGUCUUCUUGGGGGAACUCUGAUUUCCAUCCUGUCGUUUUUAAGGAUGUUUGCAGUCAACUUUUUGUGAGCAGAAGGAGCAGCACUUGUGGACAGAAUGAGGAAGAGGUGCCUGCAGGCAGAGCGAUAAAGAGAGAAAGAGGUAAUUCGCUCUGCCACCAAAAUCUGUUUUUUUAAAAGACAGAUGGCAGGACACAAAUCUAAUAAGGGAAUUGUAGAGAUUCGUGUUCAUAAGACUGGGUAUUGAUAGAAAUCGGGUAUUAGAGAUCUACCCAAUAAGGCUGGAUGGACUCAAUUACCUUGCUUGGUCAUGGUCUUGCUUACUAUUCAUCUAAGCUCGGGAGCUGCAAAGAUAUGUUACAGGAAAUAAACCAAAACCAGUUAAUGUUGACACUCUGACUGACCAAUGGUAAUCAGGAAACUCACUUGUGAUUUCUUGGCUUAUCAACUCAAUGCAACAAGAAAUUUCUCGUGGAUAUUUGCUCCUUGUUGCUGCCCACAAAAUUUAAUAUCGGCAAUGAUGCACAUAUAUGUGAGCUGCUAAACAAAGUACAUGCCGCCAGACAAGGUUUCAUUUGCGAGCUCUAUGGGAUUCUCAUCGUGCCCCUUGUCUCAAGUACAUUUGGACAAACGAGAGGCCUACAUUCUCACAUCUGAAUACCAGUGCUGGUGAUUGAGGAUGACAAUUUGCUGAUCUAAAUUGUCAGAGCGUGUGGGAUGCUGGAUGCAGGAGCUAUGGAAUGAAGCCAGAUUGAUUAUCACCAAGCCAUGUAAUUAGGUUGGCCUCAGUUCUUUGAAUGAAGUUUUGAUGAUGUUCUUUCUGGUUCCAGGCGGAAAUCCAAGAUGUAUGUUUCUCAGGUCCUAUCCGGUUGUCUUGCUAUGCAUUUUGGUUUUUUGAUUUUCUUCGUUUAAUCUUGUCAAGUAGUUCUAUAUUGCCCUUUUAUAUAUAUAUAUAUAUAUAUGUGCAGAAAAAUCUACUUUGUAUAUUUAUAAGAGAACGUAACAAUUAGCCCUGUAACUUGGGCCUUUUAACAGUUAGGCCAUGCUUGUAACAGCACCUGCUUUUAAAAAAAUCUUUUAUUUUUUGGUAGAAA